rnacentral:tRNA from 1 species
GCCAUGGUGGUGUAAUGGUAGCACGGGGGCCUGUGGAGCCCUUAGUCCGGGUUCGAAUCCCGGCUUUGGCC